rnacentral:rRNA from 1 species
CCUGUAUGCUGAGAACUGAUAGCAAGCUGUACUUGUACAGUGAAGUGGCUGAUACCAUGCUUCCAGGAAAAGUCUCUAAGCUUCAGUUACAUAGGAAUCGUACCCGAAACCGACACAGGUGGUCAGGUCGAGUAGACCAAAGCGCUUGAGAGAACUCUGCUGAAGGAACUAGGCAAAAUGGUACCGUAACUUCGGGAGAAGGUACGCUGCCGACGGUGAUAGGAUUUACUCCUUGAGCUAUUGGCAGCCACAGAAACCAGGCCCCUGCAACUGUUUAUAAAAAACAUAGCACUCUGCAAACACGAAAGUGGACGUAUAGGGUGUGAUGCCUACCCGGUGCUGGAAGGUUAAUUGAUGGGGUUAGCGUAAGCGAAGCUCUUGAUCGAAGCCCCAGUAAACGGCGGCCGUAACGAUAACGGUCCUAAGGUAGCGAAAUUCCUUGUCGGGUAAGUUCCGACCUGCACGAAUGGCAUAAUGAUGGGGGCGCUGUCUCCAGCAGAGACUCAGUGAAAUCGAAUUCGCCCUGAAGAUGCGGUGUACCCGCGGCUUGACGGAAAGACCCCGUGAACCUUUACUGCAGCUUGACAUUGAACUUUGAUCUUACUUGUGUAGGAUAGGUGGGAGGCUUUGAAACCGAGACGCUAGUUUCGGUGGAGCCAAUCUUGAAAUACCACCCUGGUAAUAUUGAGGUUCUAACUCUGUCCCGUUAUCCGGGACGAGGACCAUGUCUGGUGGGUAGUUUGACUGGGGCGGUCUCCUCCUAAAGAGUAACGGAGGAGUACGAAGGUGCGCUCAGCGUGGUCGGAAAUCACGCGUAGAGUAUAAAGGCAAAAGCGCGCUUAACUGCGAGACCCACAAGUCGAGCAGGUACGAAAGUAGGUCUUAGUGAUCCGGUGGUUCUGUAUGGAAGGGCCAUCGCUCAACGGAUAAAAGGUACUCUGGGGAUAACAGGCUGAUACCGCCCAAGAGUUCAUAUCGACGGCGGUGUUUGGCACCUCGAUGUCGGCUCAUCUCAUCCUGGGGCUGAAGCAGGUCCCAAGGGUAUGGCUGUUCGCCAUUUAAAGAGGUACGCGAGCUGGGUUUAGAACGUCGUGAGACAGUUCGGUCCCUAUCUACCGUGGGCGUUGGAAAUUUGAGAGGAUCUGCUCCUAGUACGAGAGGACCAGAGUGGACGAACCUCUGGUGUACCGGUUGUGACGCCAGUCGCAUCGCCGGGUAGCUAUGUUCGGAAGGGAUAACCGCUGAAAGCAUCUAAGCGGGAAGCCUACCUCAAGAUAAGAUUUCCCUAGGACUUUAUGUCCUCUAAAGAGCCGUUGAAGACUACGACGUUGAUAGGUUGGAUGUGGAAGCAUAGUGAUAUGUGAAGCUGACCAAUACUAAUUGCUCGUGAGGCUUGA